rnacentral:rRNA from 1 species
UACGGAGGGUGCAAGCGUUAUCCGGAUUCACUGGGUUUAAAGGGUGCGUAGGUGGGCAGGUAAGUCAGUGGUGAAAUCUCCGGGCUUAACCCGGAAACUGCCGUUGAUACUAUUUGUCUUGAAUAUUGUGGAGGUAAGCGGAAUAUGUCAUGUAGCGGUGAAAUGCUUAGAUAUGACAUAGAACACCAAUUGCGAAGGCAGCUUACUACACAACGAUGGACGCUGAGGCACGAAAGCGUGGGGAUCAAACAGG